GAAAGAGGUAUCAGCUAACACCUGACAUGCCUUUGCAGAACCAGCUACAGGAAAGAGAGGAGGUCACACGCUCGUCAGAUUCUGACCUCACGGAGACGCUGAGACAAUCCAGACCUGCUAAGGAUGAAGAGUGAGAAAUGGAGAUCCUGAGAGGACAUAGCAGGGAGACGGGGCAGUUGGGAUUUAAAUCAUCCUGGAGGAUCAGGUCAAGCCUCCCUGUUUCCCUCCCGCAGGCUCCAGAACUCUUGGACUGGGAUGAAUUAAGUCAUUAUUAAUUACCCUACAAGAGCUCCAUCCCAUCCAUAAAUAAUGUGGAAGAAACAUACCACCACCUACAGCACAGAAAAAAGGGAAAUAUUUAGUGCAAUAAUCAAAAUAACCAAACUGCUUCAUGCUUUCAUCAUCCUGUUUAAUUUUCCAUUUCCCCCUCAUGUUUUUCUUUUUAAUAAUCUCAGAUAAAGCCAGUUUUUUGGACCUAAAAAAAACUGUAAUUUAGUCC